rnacentral:rRNA from 1 species
UGGGGAAUAUUGCACAAUGGGCGCAAGCCUGAUGCAGCAAUGCCGCGUGAGUGAAGACGGCCUUAGGGUUGUAAAACUCUUUCGCUAGGGAAGAUAAUGACGGUACCUAGUAAAGAAGUCCCGGCUAACUCCGUGCCAGCAGCCGCGGUAAUACGGAGGGGACUAGCGUUGUUCGGAAUUACUGGGCGUAAAGAGUUCGUAGGCGGACUAGCAAGUUAGAGGUGAAAUCCCAGGGCUCAACCUUGGAACUGCCUUUAAAACUGCUAGUCUAGAGACCGGAAGAGGUUAGGGGAAUACCUAGUGUAGAGGUGAAAUUCGUAGAUAUUAGGUGGAACACCAGUGGCGAAGGCGCCUAACUGGUCCGGUACUGACGCUGAGGAACGAAAGCGUGGGGAGCAAACAGGAUUAGAUACCCUGGUAGUCCACGCCGUAAACGAUGAGUGCUAGAUGUUGGGAUUUUCGGAUUUCAGUGUCGCAGCUAACGCAUUAAGCA